CAGCAGCCGCGGUAAUACGUAGGUGGCAAGCGUUGUCCGGAAUUAUUGGGCGUAAAGGGCUCGCAGGCGGUUUCUUAAGUCUGAUGUGAAAGCCCCCGGCUCAACCGGGGAGGGUCAUUGGAAACUGGGAAACUUGAGUGCAGAAGAGGAGAGUGGAAUUCCACGUGUAGCGGUGAAAUGCGUAGAGAUGUGGAGGAACACCAGUGGCGAAGGCGACUCUCUGGUCUGUAACUGACGCUGAGGAGCGAAAGCGUGGAGAGCGAACAGGAUUAGAUACCCCAGUAGUCCCUGUCUCUUAUAC
rnacentral:rRNA from 1 species